AUUUCAGUUGAUGAAGGAGUUGCCAUCCUUGGUCCAUCUUUUUACGCCAGGGUCCAGACCAUUCAACCUGAAAAUGAUUACAACUUUGUUUAAACCUGCCUUUGCACCAGAAGGUUCAAACAGACAAAUCAGGCAAUUGAGAAUUUACAAGAAAUUUGUAAAAUACCUAAAAGAAGUAGCAGCUGGGAGAAGAGGUAAUCUUACUCUCCGCCAUAUCCUCAUGUUUGCAACAAGUUCGGAAGAAGAACCAAUCUUGGGUUUUACACUUCAACCUUCACUCAACUUUGUACAAAGAGAAUAAUUCAUGCCAACAGUAAACACCUGCAUUAACAGAUUGUUUCUCACUGAACCCGAAGGAAAUGGAGAAUUACCAUCAGACAAACUAUUGAACAAUUUGUUUGACUUUGCAUUUAGUAAUACAUAUUAUGGUUUAUCCUAAACUUUCAUGACUUCAAAUAGCCCAAGUCUUUUUGGUAUUUACUAACUGAUAUUUCUUAUUAAAGAUGAUUUUUUUGUGUCCUAGAGAAAAGAUGUAAACAAACUUUAGUGCCUACUUUACUGAUCUUUUGUAAAAAAUGUUUUGUAGUGUGCAAGAUCACAAAACUAUACUUAGUUCAAAAGUUAAAAUAUGUAUGUUGUACAUUUAUUUUUACACAAAGUCCAAAGGUAUGUAAUCUGGUUGAAUUACAUGAAUUCAUUUAAUUAAUGAAUGCCACCAUCAGUCUUUUAGUUAUUGUCCAUUUCAUAAUAUGGUUAAGAAUACCCUUAAUAAAACUGAUGAACAGAAACUUCGGGGCAAAAUCUAA